rnacentral:rRNA from 1 species
AACGAACGCUGGCGGCAUGCCUAACACAUGCAAGUCGAACGAGACCUUCGGGUCUAGUGGCGCACGGGUGCGUAACGCGUGGGAACCUGCCCUUAGGUUCGGAAUAACUCCCCGUAAGGGGUGCUAAUACCGGAUAAUGUCUUCGGACCAAAGAUUUAUCGCCUUUGGAUGGGCCCGCGUUGGUUUAGCUAGUUGGUAGGGUAAAAGCCUACCAAGGCGACGAUCCAUAGCUGGUCUGAGAGGAUGAUCAGCCACACUGGGACUGAGACACGGCCCAGAAUCCUACGCGAGGGAGCAGUGGGGAAUAUUGGACAAUGGGCGAAAGCCUGAUCCAGCAAUGCCGCGUGAGUGAUGAAGGCCGUAGGGUUGUAAAGCUCUUUUACCCGGGAUGAUAAUGACAGUACCGGGAGAAUAAGCUCCGGCUAACUACGUG